GGCUCUCAAUCCACUGAGCAACCCAGGUGCCCCCUUAAUGCUAAUAAUUCUUUACUUCCUUGACUGUAAAAGUGGGGAUUAGACUUGAUCACCUCUAAUGCUUCUGUGCCACCUUUUAAGAGAAGUCUUUCUUUCCUUCUUUUCCUUCCUUCCUUCCUUCCUUCCUUCCUUCCUUCCUUCCUUCCUUCCUUCCUUCCUUCCUUCCUUCCUUCCUUCCUUCCUUCCUUCCUUCCUUCCUUCCUUCCUUCCUUCCUUCCUUUCUUCCUUCCUUCCUUUCUUUCUUUCUUUUUUCUCUCUCUCUCUUUCUUUCUUUCUCUCUCUUCCUUCCUUCCUUCCUCUUGACUACAGGCUUUGCUGUCAAUCUGCUGACCCCGCCCCCCAAGAAGUCUUAUAUUCUGCUGAGAUGGAAUUGUGGGGGUAAAAUGAAUAGAAGUUGACAACUGAUUGGAUUGAGGUGACGUGGAGAUAAGGA
rnacentral:lncRNA from 1 species